rnacentral:lncRNA from 1 species
GUUACGGCUUCGAGGGGCACAAUGAGUUUGUGUCUCAUGAGGACUCAGAAAGGAGCCACUUCGAUCGUCAAUCCCGCUACGACCACCAAAUGAGGCUACCUGCUAACCACGGCCGUCCACCCAUGGCUCGCAUGCCUCCCUGUGAUGAAGAAGAGUCAGACGAUGAUGAGUUCAUUAAGAGAAGCCGUAGCCACCACACUACUGUGUUGCCGCAUCACCAACAGAAACCCCAUAUGAACUUCAUGCCCCCACCUCCGUUGUCUCAGCCUCACCACAACGUAAGCUAUCUUCUCUGGUGUUGCAACCUUACUAGUCAUGUUAUGUUGAAUAUAUUCUUUCCAAGUGCCUUCAAACAUUUUAAAAGAAAACAUGCACUAUGGGCGUUUGACCGUGGUGACACAAUGAAAACAUUAGUACACACCACUAGCAAAAAGGUUACAUGUUUGGUUGGUAUCUUAAAAUAUUUAGAAGUACAGAAACUUAGAGCUUUAUGAUUGACGUUGUAGUUUGAAGGUUUUUUUUUAAAAAAAGUUAGUGAACCGUUUGCUAUGGUUUUAGAUUUUAUUGGUAUAUAAUUACUUUAACGAUUUUCAAAGCACUAAAUACUGAACUUUAAAAAGUUAGAGAAGGAUUGGUUCAUAUUUAAGCUAUAGAAAGAAAUGUUGGCUGUUAACCCCGUCCAAUCGACCCCUAGGAUGCUGAAUUUUGUUCAGUAAUUUUAUAUGUAUAUAUCUUGGGAUUUGUUGUGACAUGGUAAGCAGUAUGCAAAUGCACUAAUUGUCCACCCUAAGAUACUGAUUUAGAACUUUUCUUAUAUGGUUUCUCACCGCUAGUUAUCUGGUUAAUGAUGAUUUUGAAGGGAAAGAUGGGUAAUGGAUGGCAGGGAAGGCAUGAAGAUGGAUACCAUGGCGGGCACGGGAUGCAGCAGCACGGUGGUCACGGCAUGCAGCAGCAUGGUGGGCAUGGGAUGCCACAACACGGUGGGCACGGGAUGCAGCAGCAUGGUGGGCACGGAAUGCAGCACCACGAUGGGCACGGGAUGCAGCACCACGAUGGGCACGGUGGGCACGGUAUGCAGCAGCACGGGGCGCACGGGAUGAAGCACCAGGACAGGCUUAUGGGUCCUCAGAUUCCACCACAUCAUGUCUACAUGAACCCCAACCAUGGAAGUGGUAGUGGCCGUACAGUAAUGGUGAAGGCUUCGGAGAACUGGCGAAUGAGCAAGAGCACCGGCGGCCACCACA